rnacentral:lncRNA from 1 species
UUUUUUUUUUUUUUUUUAAUGAUAGUCAUACAGAGAGAGAGAGAGAGAGAGGCAGAGGGAGAAGCAGGCUCCAUGCACCGGGAGCCUGAUGUGGGACUCGAUCCUGGGUCUCCAGGAUCGCACCCUGGGCCAAAGGCAGGCGCCAAACCACUGCGCCACUCAGGGAUCCCUCUUUCCAGUAUCUUUGAAGAGUACGUAACAGUACUUACCUGGCAGGGACCACCUUGCAGAACUUUCUCUCCUGCUCUCUUAUGGACACCUAUGAAGCCAAGCUCCUAGGGUGGACUCAUAUCCUUUCACUAUCAGGGGUCCCUAUUGCACAGCCCAGGGGUCCCUAUUGUCCUGCAACAGUAGCAAGUUAUAAGGUAUCAGUUAUCAAGUAAAGGUCCCAUUUAGCUCCCAGACAGUAGUACUACCCCUCUUGUCUCCUCCCUCAUCAUAGCCAAGGCCUGUUGGAUUCUUUCCAUUUCAAAAUGUCUCCCAUUGUUAAAAAGCUUAAAAAAAAAAAAAAAUUUAAACCCCGGGGAUCCCUGGGUGGCUCAGCAGUUUAGUGCCUGCCUUUGGCCCAGGGUGUGAUCCUGGAGUCCCAGAAUCGAAUGCCGCAUCGGGCUCCUUGCAUGGAGCCUGCUUCUUCCUCUGCCUGUGUCUCUGCCUCUCUCUCUCUCUCUCUCUCUCUCUCUGUCUAUCAUGAAUAAAUAAAUAAUCUUUAAAAAAAUAAAUAAAAAAUAAAAAUUUUAAGCCCCUUUCCUUGACCCCACAUCCUUCCUCCAGCCAAGCACUUCCCUACAUAGGAAAAUUGCUCAAAGAGGUAGUACAUGUUGUCUCUACUUCCUCGUUCUCUCAUUCCUUCUGAUGUCCCGUCCAACCAUCGUUGCUGCCCUGAGACUCCUUGUCAAGCAGUGACCUUGACCGCUCUUUUCACUUGCCCUCCAAGACAUCCUACUUCUGAUUUUCCUACUUCCUUACUAAUGAUCAUUCUCAGCUAUUUGCUGGAUCCUUCCCCUCACCCUGAUUUCUAUUCCUAUAUGGGAUCUAGAUGAUUUGCUUUAAUGCCAUCUGUAUGCCAAUGACUUCCAAAGGUCUUUAUCUAGCCUACAUCCUUCUUUGAUUCCAGACUCCUUUAUCCAACUGAAUACCCCUCGUGUCCACCUGGAGGUCUAGACCAACUUAACAGCUGUAAAAGCAAACUCUUGAUUACCCACCCAAACUGCUCCACUUUUAAGGGUCUCAUCUCUAAAAAAAAUAAUAAUAAUAAUAAGGGUUUCAUCUCAGUAGAGGGCAAUUCCAUUUACCCAAUAUAUCAGGCCAAAAACUUAGGAGCGAUUCUUGAUUCUUCCCUUUUUAUCACACUCAACUUCUAAUAAACUAACAAGUCCUAUCUGCUCCAUCUCCAAAAUAUCUCCAGAAUCCGACCUCCUCCUACCAGCUUCAUCACCACCAUUGGUACAAGCCAAAGCCAACUCUUAGCCUUGUCUACUGCAGUAGUCCCCUUUCGGGUCUCCCUACUUCCAUUUUUGCCCCAUACCACUGAUUUUCUAUGAAGCAGGUAGUGAGGGUUUUGUUUUGUUUUUUGUUUGUUUUUGUUUUUUUGUUUUUUAAGGUAAACCAGUUAAAAAUCCUUUCAAAGUGCCGUCAUGCUCAAACGAAAACCUGAACUUCAUACCAUGCCCUACAAUACCUGCCUACAUCUUCAACCUUACUUCCCAUAAUUCCUGUUGUUCACUCUACUCGAAUACCGUGGCCUUCUUGCUCCACCUAAAUUGCUAAGUCUCCUUGGAAACUUUAUGCAUCUACACUAUUCCCCAAUCAUUGCAUCGCUGGCUCCCUCAUUUAUCCAGGCUUCUGGUCAAAUGCCAGCUCCCCAGGAAGGCCUUGCCUGCACUAACCCACUCUCUCGUUCCUUUAUUACUUUAUUUAAAAAAAAGAAAAAAAAAAACCAAUAA